rnacentral:rRNA from 1 species
UACGUAGGGGGCAAGCGUUGUUCGGAAUUACUGGGCGUAAAGGGCGCGUAGGCGGCCCAGCAAGUCGGGAGUGAAAGCCCGGGGCUCAACCCCGGAACUGCUUUCGAAACUGCUGAGCUAGAGUGCGGAAGAGGCAACUGGAAUUCCCAGUGUAGCGGUGAAAUGCGUAGAUAUUGGGAAGAACACCGGAGGCGAAGGCGGGUUGCUGGGCCGACACUGACGCUGAGGCGCGAAAGCAUGGGGAGCGAACGGG